GCCCAAACACGGUUUCCCAGUCCAGAAAGGGGCAGAAGAGCUUGUGGCCUCAACACCCAGGCUUGAUCCAUAUACCUGACCCUCUUUCCCUGGGAUUUGGGAAAGGCCUUGCCCCAGUGGGUCCCUCCAGAACCCAUCACAUCAAUGAAUGAGCUGCCGUUGACAGCCCAGAAAGAUAACAUCACCACCACCACUUGGGCAGGAAGAAUAAUGAAAAGUUUUGCCCAGUUCCCGGAGGUGAUUCUGUUCCACAUGUCCUCAGACAUCCAGUAGGGCUUCUUCACUGCUGGCCACUAACCAUCCGUGGCUGGGGUUUGGGGCUCUGCCCAGGCCUUCCUUUCUGCAACCUGAAAUUUGUGGUGUGCCUCACUUUCAUCUGCACCAGCCUACAGAAUGUCCACCAGGGGGCAGUCAAGACCUGCUCACCAGCAGCAUGCCCAGCCUUGGAUCCUUGUUCCAAGUUUGGCUCUAAGGCAGGCAGCAGGGAGGCCUUGAAUGCCUAAGCAGUGCACACAAGACUGCCACACAGGCUAAAACUGCUCAGGUUGCCGUGGCUUCUCCUCCUGAAGUCAGAACCUUGAACUCCACAAGACUCACAAAGGUACCUUCCUCAGGAGUAGGGUUGGGGGUUGUGUAUCCUUCAGCUCAAUUCUCAAUAGCCCAGUUCCCAGCAUCCUGUGGCUGGACAGCAGGAGCAGUGUCCAGGGGAGGGGACAAAUCGGCCUCUGGCUUAGACGUGCUGACUGCACCAGAAAAACAAUAGCAUGAGCUGAAGCAGCCACAAAGGAGUGACCAAAGGACAGACGCACAUUCGGACAGAAAGGCCGCAAACCAGCCACUUUUUUUUUUUUUUUUUUUAAUUUUCAUGGGAAGGCUAAAGAACUUUCUUCCUGGAUCUUUUGGACACUGAACAGAAAAGGUACCCAGGUCCAAGAGGACAGGUGACGCCAUCUGGAAAUCAGGACUUAGACACCAUGGGUAUCCACAACUGCCGGCCUAACACAACUCUUACUGACCUGCGCUGCAGAGGCAGCAAGAGGUCUCACUUGCCGCCCAAGUGAGAGAAGAUGAGGUGGGUAUCUACUAGCUCUUCCGUCCUCAGGUGUCUCUAUAGAGCAAGCUCCACCUUCAGAACAGCCCUCAUCCCCUAGACCCGCCAGCAUUAGCGUCUUGUGUAUCCUGAGAAGACUACAGGAUGGUCAGCCUUUGUCUGGACAGCUCUGCUUUUCUGAUCUUGACCCAUCAGAUUUCUCCUUCAGCCAAUAUUCCCAUGUUGUGAGGAAGAAAUCAGUCCAGACCCUGAGCAGAUGUUCUAGGUGGAGUCUGCAGCUCCCAAGGCAGCUGGCGUGGCGGGCAUAGUGAUAUGGUUCCAUCUGUGUCUUUGGUGGGCACCUAGAGUGGUACACUGAGCAAGUCGAUGUGGUGGAGGCCUCUCCCACAGCAAGGACAUGUCUGUCACCUAAAGCUCUGCUUUCCUGAAAAUCAACAUUUCCCAUGUUGGUUUUCCCAGAGGGCAACCUGCUGUCUGGCACACCUGUGCAUACAUGAAACAGGUGGCUAGCCUUAUGGGUUCCUUCGCCUGCUGCAGUUCCCAGCUUCCCCCUGAGCUGGCAUGUCUGAAGAGUCCCUGCAUGUCAGCAGGCAGAUGAAGACGGGCUCUGUGGCUACCUGCUUGCUUCCCAUAUCACUCGUCUGCCCUCCUUGGGCCAGUAAGGCCCAGAGCAGGAUGGAAAGGCCAUCGACCCAGGACAUGUCUCUGCCACUGAAGAUCGACAGAAGAGUGUGGAGCACCCACGUCCAGUGCUGGCCCUUCAGCAGGUCAGCUGCUCCCCACAAUGGCCCCCUCCAGGAACCGUCUCAGCAAUGGUUACUGCUGCACUAGUCACUGCAUCUCCAGGUCCCCACAAAAUAUUCCUACUGAAUACUCUGAAAUCCUAGGAAAAUAGUCAAGACCAGUCAAAUCCAACACCCACAGGCCUACUGUUACUGCGAUGCAAGUGAAGCUGCCCGCCAUCCCUGCAAGCUGGAAUCAAGUCCAUAACAGUUGCAAGCCCAGGAGGAGAGCCCAGAUAACCCCUCACAGGUGGCAUCACCCGAGGGGGGCAGAGGGUGCGAGGCUUAGCCGUGGUCGGUGAUAACUGCCUCCUCCACACCAUAACACCGUGGAGGCUAACUCAGAAAGGGCCUGACAUCUUGGGAGCCCACUCAAAAGCGGCCUGGGGCUUGUUCACCCCAGGAAGUACCAAGAUGAGCAAGAGCAAAGAGGUGAACUUCUGGUCAGGAUGGACUUGCACCCAAACCCACGUCUAUGGCAUGGCCACCACAGAGCCUCUAUUAAUCCAAGUAUAGGGAACAAAAGAGCAUGGGUUAACUUGGAGAUGUGUCCCACAGUGAGGGGGGCCGAGGGCUCCUUUCCUGCAGUGCAUCACACUUAGUGUGCUCACCGUCGUGAGUGGGUGCAGCUGUGGCAGAGCAGGGCGGGAGUGAGACUGAGCUUCACUCACUGGGGUCACUGUAGCAGUCACAGAGCAGAUGCCUCCCUCUUAUCCUGGGUGUCCUUUUACACAUACUAGGGUGUUUGCUUGGUUUGGGGUUCACAUCUGAGCCCUAAGUGACUCUUCUCUGGUUGGCUAUGUCAUUAUCAUCUUCAUCACCUUCUUCUGUCCCAUGAGUCACAUCCAUCCUCCCAUGGGUGCUGGGCAGAGGAGGGCAGCAGGUGUCUUUAUGCCCUGGGGCUUUGUGGUGAUAGUGUGGUGCCCUGCUCCACCUCCCUGUGACUGAGACUCCUAGACUGGCUCCACACUGCAUAUCGCCCGGACAGCCUUCAAGUUUCUCUGGGGAAUCAGAGUGGGAGGCCCAGGGGGAAACUAGCAGACAAGGACCUGUCCGUCCAUGAGAGGGGUGUCGUUAUCUACAGGACACUGCCUGACACUCCAGGGGUUACGAUGUUUUAACAAUAUGUGUCGCCAAGCAUAGAGUUUCUGAUACCAUUCAGGAAAAUCCAUGGGUUAGCAUCGUGAGUCUGUUACACACGUCUCUUGUCAUCCAAGUGCUGUCCUGAAGCCAGGAAUACCAAGCUCCAGCUCUUAGCAUUUGGGCUGUGGUUCUAGCGUGCAGUCCACUGACUCCUACCUCGGGGACUAUGACAGAUGUUAUGAGUAGUGAGCUCGGCUGGCUGGGCUGAGAGGCUCCUGUGGCAGGCUAGUGCCGCCCAAGGCUCUCCACCCACCACUGCCCAGGCCAGCAGGCACUUCCACAGCAUUUCUUAUCACUGUCAGUGCCCAGGUCCUCCUUUCUGGUCGCAUGCGCUGUCCUGCCCAUGCCCCUUCCUCCUCCUUUCUGAAAGCCCACACUGGCACUUUUCAGAAGCCCAAGUGAGCACAAAGAGAAAGGACAAACUGUCAUCCUUCAUCCUAUAGACUCAGAGCCUGGGACACAUUUGACACAUUAUCAACCAGAGCUGAGGUGGCCCCUCCCCAAAGAUCCACUCAGAACAUUCACCAUCAGCCAGCCGUGUGCUGCUGUCAUCCUUGAGAGAGUUGGAACAGAAAGGAAAGAGAUUGGAUUCAGGGAGGACAGAAGUCACAGGAGGAGGAAGAGGAAGGAAAGCUCCUAGGGAGAAGCCAGCAAACUGGAGCACCAGCCUGCUCGGUGGAGCACCUGAACUCUCAUCACAGAGGAAGCCCGUGCUGGGGGCGGGUUCACCUCCCAAGCUUCCAAGCAGGACUACCAAGGCCUCACUAUAUUUUGAUGUAGCCUGUGAUCUCUAGAGCCAACCUGAGAGCUACCCUCCUAACCAGCUCCGUCCACAUCUGCAGUGACAAGAAAGACCAAGUGGAUACUCUGAGCACAAGACUGAGUAAUCAAGCAAAUGGUGGGGUGGAUAGGACACUGUCAACUGAGCCUGCACCAUCCAGGAAUGCAGCUGGUCCAUAGCCUUGGGAAUGUGGGUCUUCCUGCACUACCUGAGUUUGGGAUGUUUGUGCUGGAGGAGUGGAGCCAUCCCCAAGGCACCUUGGGAGGCCUCACUCGGGUGACUUGGCAACUCUGACGAUGAAAACCCCCUCCACAUCCCAGAGGGGCUUGUACCUGCGUGAGCGAAUGAGCAUGCCCCUGGCCACGUGCUCCACAGCUGGAUGCUGACCUCUCUUAAACUGAGAGGGGCCCCUAGGGCUGCCUGUUGUUUGUGAAUGAGGUUUAGAGACAUGAGAUUUUCAGGACCAGCAUCCGUGAGCACCUACUCUCCUCAUCUAGCCAGAGGCCUCUCUUCGAACUUGUCUCUUGAGAUCCAGCCAUUGAUUCUGUGGUGGCUGAGCUUCCUCCCAGGUUGUGGGACUCUGAACCCACUAGGUAGGGCUUCGACCUUCUCACCGUCUUUGCUACCACGGCCCUCUUUGCUUCUUGUCCUUAGUGAACCCUACUACCCACUCUCCUACCUUAUUUGCAUUCUCAGAGACUGGCCAGUGCUCCCCUUCCAUGACUGACUAUGUGGAAGCCCAGGCUCCAUGCAGAGGGCGGGUCCUGGACAGGGUAGUGCAUCUGUCACCCAAUUAACUUCAGCAGGAAGAGUGAACUGAACCAAGCCUGUUGUUGGCUAAUUUCCCCCAAUACAAGCAAUUCAUAAUCAAAUAAAACACCAUUUGAUCUUGAAGUUUUCUAUGGAACCAACCCUCCCGCCGUUCCGCACAAUUGCUUGUGGAUCCAGGA
rnacentral:lncRNA from 1 species